GGGAUGAGCUGUGGGUAGAGGUGAAAUGCCAAUCGAGCACGGAGAUAGCUGGUUCUCCCCGAAAUAGCUUUAGGGCUAGCCUCAGGGAAGGGUCUAUGGAGGUAGAGCACUGAAUGGGCUAGGGGCCAAGGAGGUUACCGAACCCUAUCAAACUCCGAAUGCCAUAGGCAAGCACCUGGGAGUCAGACUGCGAGUGAUAAGAUCCGUAGUCGAGAGGGGAACAGCCCAGACCUCCAGCUAAGGUCCCAAAGGGC
rnacentral:rRNA from 1 species